AGAGCUCGGCCGAGAGCAGCAGCCGCGUCACGGGGGGCUUCACGUGCUCCUGCGCGUACUGGUCGGUGUAGAAGGGCUCCCACAGCUCCGAGGGCACAUGCUCUGUGGGGCGAGGGGGUGAUGGCGGGUCAGGGCCCACGCACCCGUGGGGAGGUCGGCGCCGGGACGGAGGCUAGGGGGCCUGGGCGGAGGCCCGCAGGUGUGCAGGAGUUCGCCAGAGGAAGAGGCUGGGGUGGAGGGGCCUGCACCAGCCGAGGCCAAGAGGUGGGAGAGCACAGCGCCUCGGGGGGAGGGCGGCUCCGGGACGGGAGAGGAGUCAGCGUGGGGCCACCUGCGCAGCGGCUUGCCGGGAGGUGGGCGGCCUUGCAGACCCUCGGACGGUAACAAUGACUUGAUCACAUGAUCUCCCCUGGCGCCCCACAAGCCUGGGAAGCAGCAGCCAGGGCACAACCAGGAACUCCAGAAACAGGCACAGAAAAGGAAAGUAACCUGCCUAAGGCCACACAGCUGGGCCACGCCGACACUGGGAUUCAAAGCCAGGCCUUUAGCAGACUCUACGCCCUCUCUCAGCUUGGAGGCUGGGGUGGGGUGGGGACAUGUCAGGACCUUCAAGAUGAAAAAAACGUGAGCCAGGCCUACCAAUAGCUAAUGCUCAUCAAGCACUUCCUCUCUACCUGUGUGUGUGCCUACACCUGGCACUACUGGCAUUGCAGCUGGAUACUUCUUUGUGUUCAGCGGGGAGUGGGGUAGGCUGUCCAGGGCGUUGUAAGAUGAGCAGCAGAGUCGCUGGUCUCUACUCACUAUAUGCCAGGAGCACCCUCCUCUAAGUAGUGACAAUGAAAAAUGUCUCCAGACACUAUCAAAGGUCUAAGAGGCAAACCACCCCACCCCACCCCACCCCCGCUUGAGAGCCACCGCUCUCUACUAAAAAUGUUUAUUAGGCAUCUAGCAUAGUGUAGUGCCGUCUGACAGAAAUACAGCUUGGCCCACAUACGUCGUUUUAUUAAACUUUGUAGUAGCCCCAUUAGAAAAGUAGAAACGAGGAACCCUAGUAACAUAUUUAACCCAAUACAUAUCUAAUACUAUCAUUUCAACAUGUAAUUAAUAUAAAAGCCUUAUGGAUGAGAUAUUUCACUUUUUUUUUUUUUCUUAUAUCAAGUCUUCAGAUAUCAGGCCACGGUGUAGUUCACUUACAUUUACAACACAUCACAACAAAGAUGAGCCACAUGUGGAUGUGGCCACCACCCUGGACCACCCAGCUCUACAACACAGCUAGCAUGUACUUAUACCACGGCCGCCUUGCAUGCAUUUGCUCGAGUAACCCUUAGGACGCUUGCUCUUAGCCCCACGGUCCCAAUGAGAAAACCAAGGCCCAGAGAGCUGAGAUAACUUGCCCAGGAUCACACAGCUAAUAAACGGCCCAGCUGACAUGAACCCAGUCUCCCCAGAGGUCACACUGAUGCUCUGGCAUGAGGGACUUUGGUGCGGUGUUUCCCAAACUUGCAUAGAGAUGGCACCCUUUGUUAUCUCUGAGUUAGAGUCCCGGAGCCCACCUGCCUGCAUUCCCACAGCCUCCUCACGCCUGUGCCUCCGGGCCACCAGAACUGCCUUCCCUUUGGGCAACUGCAUAUCUGAUCUCAUUUUGUCAAGUCCUCAAACAUGUUCCAUGGCUCCCCAGCGCCCUCAGAUUCCCCCCUCCACACACACACACACACACACACACACACACAGAGCUUGAGAGGCCCUCCUCUGUCCCACCAGCCUCUCUCAUCUCCCACCUCCCUCAGCCACCACCCCACCACGGGGACCUGCACAGUCUUCUCUGAGAACUCCCCGCUGGCCCAAACCCCCAGGCCUUUCUGCAUGCCGGUCUCCUCCCUCUGGCGAACUCCUAAAAGCAUCCCUCAAGGUUCAAACCCUCCCUCCUUUGGGGAGACUUCCUUUCUCCUUCCCUCCCAGGCAGAGCUCAGGGAUUUCCUCCUCCUGCCCCUAACAGACUCCUCUACAACACAGACCUUAUCACCCUAAGCAGCAAUGAUCCGGUUUCAUGUCCCAUCCCCCUCUCUCCCAACUCCACCCCCAUCCUCUCUGUCCUGAGCACCCAGCACCAGCCUGGCACCCAACCCGCAUGGGUAAAAAGUCCCAGAGUUCAUGAAUCAAGUAGAUCUCUGUUCCCUACUUCCUUCUCUGGGCCUGGUGUCCCACCUUCCUCAGCCCCUCCCUCUGUCUAGGGAAGGAGGGUCGGAGGAGGACUGCACCUGACCCUCAGGGAGGAUCUUGGACAGUGCAGGGAGCUGGCUCAGUGAGAACAGAACUGGGUGAGUCAGGGCAUCCCAAGAGAUCUCACUUUCCUUUCUGUGAAAUGGGACAGUAAUUUCUGCUCCACGGUAAUCUUAAUAUUCUUAAUAAAAACGCCACUACUGGGGCACCUGGGUGGCUUAGUUGGUUAAGUA